rnacentral:lncRNA from 1 species
UCGGAUAUAAGUCCAUGUAUUGGCAUUUUGUUUCCUGUUUGUUUUGAGGAGUUAGAUAUAAGUCCAUCUAUUGGCAUUCUGUUUCCUUGUUGAGUGUUUCUUUUGACGUCUCAGCGUCUCUUUUUAGUGUUUGUUUCGGCGUGCGUUAGCCGAACUACGAGUGUUCUGAUUCUUACUCUGGAUAGAGAAGAUACGUAGGCAUAGGAUGUGAUAUCCUAGCGAGCAUGCC